AUGAGGAAACUGAGGCUGAGAGGGUAGAGAACUUUGCCUGAGGUCACUCAGCAGGGACCCACCCAUCACAGUAAAUGCCAGCACUGCUGAUGCCAAAACAAUGUUAUUUGUAGGCCCUCGGAAUUUGUGACCUGAAGGAAGAAGAGCAGGGCCGUGGGAAGUAUGUAACCAGUGUCAUGCCCCUGGUCCCAAGGAAGCAGUGGCUUGGUAAAGAGGGGACCCCCGUCAAUAACUCCCUGUAAUUACUGGGCACCCACUCUGAGCUCCUCAGUGGAAUCCUAAGGUUAAUAAGACUGUCUCUAGCCACUGGGGCUCCCAGCCUGGAGUGAGGUAAGAGGAGUGGAGCCGGCUGGGGAGGGAGACGAACACAUACACAGAAGAUUCAGACACACUUGCAAUGUAUUGCUGGGGAUUCUCCAGCAUUGGCAUGAUGGAGAGGGUGGAGAAUCAUUUGACCGCCUCCGCCUAGGAUUGCAGAGUUCAGCUGGCCAUCAUCCACCAGCCGGGGGACUGUGCACAUCAGUUAACCUCUCCUCUCAGGCCUUGAAAAGCACCAGGCUUAGUACACGUUUGUUAAAUGAAUGCACUGCAGUUUUUUUGCUUGUUAAAGGCAGGUAAUAAUAAUGAUAUUGCUGACUAAGGGCUCCCAUCCACUCCCAGUGAGCCCGGUGCCCCCCCGGGCCUCCUCAGUGAGCUGAGGAGGCUCAGCAGUGCCUGCACGUCCCCUCGCCACAAUGUCAUGUGCCACCUCUUCAAAGGAGGGAUGUACCAGCUAGUGGACGUGACCUUGACUGCAAAGGGCGGCACGCAGCUGAUGUAAUGGUCGCUUAAGUGUUCACAAAUGUAAGUCAUUACUAUUAUAAGUGGUGGGUGAUCAAGUGGCUAGGGGUGCCAUCUUUAGCAAAUAAAAAUAUAGGACGCACAGUUAAAUUUGAAUUUCAGAUAAGAAUUUCUUAGCAUAAGUAUGCCCUAUGCAAUAUUUGGGACACAUUUAUAUCAAAAAAAACUCAAUAUUUAUCUGAAAUUCAAAUGUAACUGUGUGUCCUAGAUUUUAUCUGGCAGCCUUAUUGAUGGUGGCUUAUUGACUGGCUGGGAAUGACAGGGGUGUAGGCCAGGAAAUGGCUCUGUGAAGGCUGCCUAGAACUGAAUCGAACAUGAGGAUGAGUCAGUGUCAAGACUCCCAGUGGGGCCAUCGGAUCAUUACUGCAUGAUCGUCUUAAGCCUUUGUUAGUGAAUCCCUCAGACUCACGCCUUCUUCUCUCCAGGCCUGAACACCCUGUCCUACCUGGUCCUACCUGGAUGCUGGCCUCAGUAAGCUCCUGGGCUCAUUGAAGAUGAACCUAGCAGUAGUAUUUACACCACUUGUUGUGUGCCCACUGUGGGCCCGGCGCCAUGCCGAGUGCUCUAUGGAUGUGAGGUAAUGAAGCUGCAUGGGUGGGAUUCAAAUGCAGGGUGGUCUGACCCCAGGGCCAAGAUCUCUUUCUAUUGCACCAUGCUAUGGCCUGAUCAAAGACUCAAGCAUCUAGGACAGAGAAAGAGGGAGCAGGAGGGGACACAGAAUAUCCUAAAGUGGCCUCCUACUGUGUCCCAGGCACUGUGUUAGGAUUCACUGAGUUGUCACAAAAAUCCUGCAAAGUUCAUUCUCGAGGACGCUCUGGAAUUUAAAUACCUUGCCAAGAUCAUACAGAUUAAGUGGUGGAGCAGGGAUUUGAACGGAGGUCUGUCUCACUGCAAAGCCCAAGUAAUUUUGCCCCCUUUUGUGUGUAUGCAUCCUGGGAUGAUGUGUGCAUGCAUGUGUGUGUGUAUGCGUGUGUGCGUGCAUGUGUGCAUGUGUGUGUGUAUAUGCGUGCAUGUGUGUGUAUGUGUGUGUGCAUGUGUGUGCAUGCGUGCAUGUGUGUGUGUAUCGUGCAUGUGUGCAUAUGCGUGCAUGUGUGUGUGUGUGUGUGCAUGUGUGUGUUCCUACAGUCACAUCCCACCUUCGGAGUGGCGCUUUCCGGUCCUACCCAGCCCUUCCUCUCUUGGGAUGGGUCUAGGGCCUUGGAGGUGAUUAGACUCUAGUGGUGCUGGCACAGGGCUGGCUUUCUCAGCAUAUUUCAGGGGACUGUGUCCUCUGCCUGCUGUCCCCCAAUCAGUAGCUUCUCUUGGGACUUGCCCUCCCCUGC
rnacentral:lncRNA from 1 species